rnacentral:rRNA from 1 species
GGGGGAAAGAUUUAUCGCUAUUAGAUGAGCCUACGUUAGAUUAGCUAGUUGGUAAGGUAAUGGCUUACCAAGGCUAUGAUCUAUAGCUGGUCUGAGAGGACGAUCAGCCACACUGGAACUGAGAUACGGUCCAGACUCCUACGGGAGGCAGCAGUGGGGAAUAUUGGACAAUGGGCGAAAGCCUGAUCCAGCUAUGCCGCGUGAGUGAAGAAGGCCUUCGGGUUGUAAAGCUCUUUCAAUAGGGAAGAUAAUGACGGUACCUAUAGAAGAAGUCCCGGCAAACUCCGUGCCAGCAGCCGCGGUAAUACGGAGGGGGCAAGCGUUGUUCGGAAUUAUUGGGCGUAAAGGGCACGUAGGUGGACUAGUAAGUUAAAAGUGAAAUACCAAAGCUUAACUUUGGAGCUGCUUUUAAUACUGCUAGACUAGAGGUCGAAAGAGGAUAGCGGAAUUCCUAGUGUAGAGGUGAAAUUCGUAGAUAUUAGGAGGAACACCAGUGGCGAAGGCGGCUAUCUGGUUCGAUACUGACACUGAGGUGCGAAAGCGUGGGGAGCAAACAGGAUUAGAUACCCUGGUAGUCCACGCUGUAAACGAUGAGUGCUAAAUGUGAGGAUUUUAUCUUUGUAUUGUAGCUAACGCGUUAAGCACUCCGCCUGGGGACUACGGUCGCAAGACUAAAACUCAAAGGAAUUGACGGGGACCCGCACAAGCGGUGGAGCAUGUGGUUUAAUUCGAUGCUACGCGAAAAACCUUACCACUUUUUGACAUGAAGGUCGUAUCCCUCCUAACAGGGGGAGUCAGUUCGGCUGGACCUUACACAGGUGCUGCAUGGUUGUCGUCAGCUCGUGUCGUGAGAUGUUGGGUUAAGUCCCGCAACGAGCGCAACCCUCAUCCUUAGUUACCAACAGGUAAUGCUGGGCACUCUAAGGAAACUGCCAGUGAUAAACUGGAGGAAGGUGGGGAUGAUGUCAAAUCAGCACGGCCCUUAUAAGGUGGGCUACACACGUGCUACAAUGGCAACUACAAUAGGUUGCGAGACCGCAAGGUUUAGCUAAUCCAUAAAAGUUGUCUCAGUUCGGAUUGUUCUCUGCAACUCGAGAGCAUGAAGUCGGAAUCGCUAGUAAUCGUGGAUCAUCACGCCACGGUGAAUACGUUCUCGGGUCUUGUACACACUGCCCGUCACGCCAUGGGAAUUGGCUUAACUCGAAGCUGGUGUGCUAACCGCAAGGAAGCAGCCAUUUAAGGUUGGGUCAGUGACUAGGGU